CAGCAGCCGCGGGAAUACAGAGGGUGCAAGCGUUAAUCGGAAUUACUGGGCGUAAAGCGCACGCAGGCGGUCUGACAAGUCAGAUGUGAAAUCCCCGGGCUUAACCUGGGAACUGCAUUUGAAACUGUCAGGCUGGAGUCUUGUAGAGGGGGGUAGAAUUCCAGGUGUAGCGGUGAAAUGCGUAGAGAUCUGGAGGAAUACCGGUGGCGAAGGCGGCCCCCUGGACAAAGACUGACGCUCAGGUGCGAAAGCGUGGGGAGCAAACAGGAUUAGAUACCCCGGUAGUCCCUGUCUCUUAUAC
rnacentral:rRNA from 1 species